rnacentral:rRNA from 1 species
CGUAGGCGGUCUGUUAAGUGUAGAGUGAAAUCUCCAGGGCUCAACCCGGAAACUGCUCUGCAUACUGGCAGACUGGAGUGAUGCAGAGGUUUGUGGAAUUCCUGGUGUAACGGUGAAAUGUGUUGAUAUCAGGAGGAACACCCAUGGCGAAGGCAGCAAACUGGGCAUUAACUGACGCUGAGGCGCGAAAGCGUGGGUAGCAAACA